rnacentral:rRNA from 1 species
UACGAAGGGGGCGAGCGUUGUUCGGAAUUACUGGGCGUAAAGGGCGCGCAGGCGGCCCUUGAAGUCAGGCGUGAAAGCCCCGGGCUCAACCUGGGAGGUGCGCUUGAUACUCGAGGGCUUGAGUGCGGGAGAGGAGAGUGGAAUUCCCAGUGUAGAGGUGAAAUUCGUAGAUAUUGGGAAGAACACCGGUGGACGAAGGCGGCUCUCUGGACCGUAACUGACGCUGAGGCGCGAAAGCGUGGGGAGCAAAGCAGG